UACUGCCUCUGCUUUUAACUGGCAGGAAAUGGUUACAGUACCUCUAGAAAAAACAACUGCUGUUAAACUAGGAAAAUGUGACAAAAAGCCUUACUGUCAAUCUAAAGUAAAAAUGAUCAGCAUUUGUGGGUAAUGACUGAAGUGCUCUUUAGCAAGAUGAAAGUACCAAGUACCUAUGCAAAUCCAAUCCAAGCUCUCUGAGGAAUAAAAUUCAACUCAUCUCACUUAUUGUAAGAAUGAGGAGCAUCACACAAUUGCCACAAAGGAGAAAAGAGGCCAAACUUACCACCGCCACCUCCGAGAAGACUUGAAUUAGCUGUGGAAGAACAAGAGAACCAAGAAUUACAUCAGAGCAAGCUUUGCUUAUUUUUUUUUUAAUAUUCUCUAACAAUACAAAAACAAAAAUAAAGCCAGUCCACCUUCUCUGUUAACACAAGGACUUUAGGGAAAGUUUAAAUUAAACAUUACAUACAAAACAA